AUGCACUUUCUUCCCCGUCUUCCACUCUUCUUCCUCCUCUCUUCUUCUUCCUCCUCUCUUCCCCAUCGUCGGCCGCACACCAUUUCCCCCCGCUCACUGCUCGCCCGCCAGCGCUAUCUUCCUUGCAGACGCAAAUGCGCUGGCCUUCAUGAUUCCAGGACCUGGAAUCAUACCAGCCGAUGGUACCAUAUAACUGGAAUUAACCGAUGCAAGUCGAAGAAGGAUUGGCCGGUGCUGCCGGCUGGCGUCAAGUUUGAUCCCACGGAUCAGGAGCUGAUCGAGCACCUUGAAGCCAAAGUGAGUGCUGACAGCGCGAGAUCUCACCCUCUCAUCGAUUUGUUCAUACCAACCAUCGACAGCGAGCACGGCAUAUGCUACACCCAUCCUGAGAAACUUCCAGCGCAAUUCCAGGGCGUUCAAAGGGGCACGUGGACGCGUCGCAAGAUACAGUUGGAGUGCGGCAUGCACGCGAUGUGGCACAACACCGGCAAUACCUUGCCGGUGAUGGUCAACGGCCAGCAGACGGGCAGCAAAAAGGUUCUGGUGCUGCACACCAACAAGAACUUUGACCAACAGAGGACCAACUGGGUGAUGCACCAGUACCACCUCGGGGACCUGGAGCAAGAGAAGGAGCGGGAGCUGGUCCUCUGCAAGAUUUUCUACCAGACGAACACUAGGGCCAGGAGUAAAAAGAUUAUAAGUUAG
rnacentral:rRNA from 1 species